CGGCAGAUGGCACAGCGGCGACUGCAGCGGACUGUAAAUCCGUGACAUUGAAACACGUUGGUUCGAGUCCAACUCUGCCGACCA
rnacentral:tRNA from 1 species